rnacentral:sRNA from 1 species
GUAGAUACUCAUCCUACUCCUUAUGACAGCCUGUGGCUUCAUAAACCUCAGGAUGAUGUAGAGCUGAUUGUCAGUGCCUAUGGUCCAUGUUAUAGAUGAAUGAGCAUUCUGUCUUUUCAUCGCAAACCGGACAUAACGUUGAGUGAGGCACUAUCCGUCUGUAGACCUGAUUG